rnacentral:rRNA from 1 species
AACGUAGGUGGCAAGCGUUAUCCGGAUUCACUGGGCGUAAAGCGAGUGCAGGUGGUUGUGUAAGUUGGAUGUGAAAUUUCCAGGCCUAACCUGGAAGGGUCAUUCAAUACUGCGCGACUUGAGGGCAGAAGAGGGGGGUGGAAUUGCCGGUGUAGUGGUGAAAUGCGUAGAUAUCGGCAGGAACACCUGUGGCGAAAGCGGCCCCCUGGUCUGCUCCUGACACUCAGACUCGAAAGCUAGGGUAGCGAACGGGAUUAGAAACCCCGGUAGUCCUAGCCGUAAACGAUGGAUGCUAGGUGUGGGUGGUAUUGACCCCAUCCGUGCCGAAGCCAACGCGUUAAGCAUCCCGCCUGGGGACUACGGCCGCAAGGUUAAA